GACGAACGCUGGCGGCGUGCCUAACACAUGCAAGUCGAACGGAGUUAAGACUUCGGUUUUAACUUAGUGGCGAACGGGUGAGUAACGCGUGAGAAACCUGCCUUUCAGUGGGGGACAACAGUUGGAAACGACUGCUAAUACCGCAUAAUGUUGCGAGAGGGCAUCCUCUUGCAACCAAAGCUUUAUGUGCUGAAAGAUGGUCUCGCGUCUGAUUAGCUAGUUGGUGAGGUAACGGCUCACCAAGGCGACGAUCAGUAGCCGGUCUGAGAGGAUGAACGGCCACAUUGGGACUGAGAUACGGCCCAG
rnacentral:rRNA from 1 species